AGUGAACGCUGGCGGUAGGCCUAACACAUGCAAGUCGAACGGCAGCACAGUAAGAGCUUGCUCUUACGGGUGGCGAGUGGCAGACGGGUGAGGAAUACAUCGGAAUCUACUUUUUCGUGGGGGAUAACGUAGGGAAACUUACGCUAAUACCGCAUACGACCUACGGGUGAAAGCAGGGGAUCUUCGGACCUUGCGCGAUUGAAUGAGCCGAUGUCGGAUUAGCUAGUUGGCGGGGUAAAGGCCCACCAAGGCGACGAUCCGUAGCUGGUCUGAGAGGAUGAUCAGCCACACUGGAACUGAGACACGGUCCAGACUCCUACGGGAGGCAGCAGUGGGGAAUAUUGGGCAAUGGGCGCAAGCCUGAUCCAGCCAUACCGCGUGGGUGAAGAAGGCCUUCGGGUUGUAAAGCCCUUUUGUUGGGAAAGAAAAGCAGCAGGUUAAUACCCCGCUGUUCUGACGGUACCCAAAGAAUAAGCACCGGCUAACUUCGUG
rnacentral:rRNA from 1 species